GGUUUUAUAGUCAAUAAUGAUAUCAAAUUGCAAAUUUGAAGGUAAAUUUAAAUUUUAAAACUU
rnacentral:tRNA from 1 species